rnacentral:rRNA from 1 species
GAUGAACGCUGGCGGCGUGCCUAAUACAUGCAAGUCGAGCGAAUGGAUUGUGAGCUUGCUCUUAUGAAGUUAGCGGCGGACGGGUGAGUAACACGUGGGUAACCUGCCCAUAAGACUGGGAUAACUCCGGGAAACCGGGGCUAAUACCGGAUAACAUUUUGAACCGCAUGGUUCGAAAUUGAAAGGCGGCUUCGGCUGUCACUUAUGGAUGGACUCGCGUCGCAUUAGCUAGUUGGGGAGGUAACGGCUCACCAAGGCAACGAUGCGUAGCCGACCUGAGAGGGUGAUCGGCCACACUGGGACUGAGACACGGCCCAGACUCCUACGGGAGGCAGCAGUAGGGAAUCUUCCGCAAUGGACGAAAGUCUGACGGAGCAACGCCGCGUGAGUGAGGAAGGCUUUCGGGUCGUAAAACUCUGUUGUUAGGGAAGAACAAGUGCUAGUUGAAUAAGCUGGCACCUUGACGGUACCUAACCAGAAAGCCACGGCUAACUACGUGCCAGCCGCCGCAGUAA